GGUGGUCUGGGAGCCGGGGUCUUCCCUGAGGCCCGCCCUCAGCCAGGGUUCCCAGGAGCCGAUGGCUUUCUGAACGGUCAGGCUGGGGGCCUGAGGGGCUUUCCCUGGCCCUUCCUCGGGCCCUGGGGGGCUGCCUUGAAGCCUAGAUACGGGGUUGGAGGCACAUACCCGGAGGUCGGGAGUCAACCAGGGCCCUAUGGGCAGCUGAGGCCAGAGCUGGGCCCUGGGCCCUUGGGAGGCCCUGAGGUGAAGAGAGGCAGCAAUGGCCCGCUGGGAAAUGGCUUUGGAGGCCGCUGACUGCUUGGGAAACGCUGAGCACCCGAGCACUCCCACUGCCCGUCCUGAGCACCUCUGCACGCGAGCCUGGUCUUCAGGCAAGGCCGGCCAGACCCUCCGGCUUGGCCUCUGGCCUGGGGUCUCCUGCAGGCUGGAAGUCUCAAUAAAGGCAGUGUGCUUCCCUGUU